rnacentral:piRNA from 1 species
AGCUGACGGGAAGAGAACAGCACUG